rnacentral:tRNA from 1 species
CGGGGAGUAGCUCAGUUGGCUAGAGCGCGCGGUUUGGGACCGUGAGGUCGGAGGUUCAAGUCCUCUCUCCCCGACCA